rnacentral:rRNA from 1 species
GACGAACGCUGGCGGCGUGCUUAACACAUGCAAGUCGAACGGAAAGGCCCCUUUGGGGGUCCUCGAGUGGCGAACGGGUGCGUAACACGUGCGUAACCUGCCCUUGACUUCGGGAUAACUUCAGGAAACUGGGGCUAAUACCGGAAAGGAAUACUUGCUGCAUGGUGGGGGUUGGAAAGCUUCGGCGGGUUUGGAUGGACUCGCGGCUUAUCAGCUUGUUGGUGGGGUAGUGGCUUACCAAGGCUUUGACGGGAGGCCGGCCUGAGAGGGCGACCGGCCACAUUGGGACUGAGAUACGGCCCAGACUCCUACGGGAGGCAGCAGUGGGGAAGAUUGCACAAUGGGCGGAAGCCGGAUGCAGCAACGCCGCGGGCGGGAUGACGGCCUUCGGGUUGUAAACCGCAUUCAGCAGGGGCGAAGCUUGUGGUGACGGUACCUGCAGAAGAAGCACCGGCUAACUACGUG